AUGGGGGGGGUUUCAGGGGCGCCCCCCGGCUGCACUCCCCACUCCCCACUCCUCGAGGCUUCAGGUGCCCGCGCUGGUGCCCAAAGGACGCCCGGGGACAGCAAGCGGCCAGCAGCCCAGCCUCAGCCACCCAGGCCAGGAACCGCUGUGCUUGAGGCGGGAACCCAGAGGGGCCCACCCUGCCCCACCCGCGCAGGGCCCCGCAGGGCACCCCCCCACCCCCGCCUGCAGCCUCCCCUGCCCCCUGCGUGUCCCGGGCAGGUCGGUACAGUCCCUUCCCCACCUUCCUCCUGCUGUCCUCUCCAGCUCCUGACUCCCCUCCCUCCCCUGCUGACCCAGAAGGCCUGCUUGGUGACAGCCAGGAGCACCCACUCCUCAGCCUCCUGGCACCUUCAGAGGGUCCCUCAGACAGCCCCGGGCAACCCGCGCCACGCUUCCCUGCCCUGGGCAUUGGCGCUUGACCCCAGCAGAGACCGGGUGACAGUUGACCUUCCGAGGGCACUAGGACUCUCCUCUGUGUUACACUCCCAGAUCCCUCCAGGGCAGCCUUCUUCCCAGAGGCAAGGCAGGGUCUCCUAUGCCCUAGGAACUGUGGCCUCAGGGCUCAUCAGUCACUACUGCCCAAGUAUGAAUCAGUGCUCCAGCCUCCAUCUUUCGGGACCAUUCCCAAAAGCAACUCUGAGCAGAGGAAGGGCCGGAGUCUCCCUUCCAGGGGCCGGGCCACACCCUUCUCCCCGUCCUAUGGGGAAGCCAGCUCUAACGGACAGCAUCACGAGGUACCCAGAGGGAAAUGAGUCAGGGGGGACCCCCUACUGGGGUGAGUCAGAGCCGGAUCCCCAGGCUCUCUGCUCCUCUUCCCAGGGACCCCUUCCUUCAAAGUGUCAGGGCCUGGGUGAUGGGCUGGGCCUCUGGAGAGGUGGGCAGGGGCCAUCUGAGGUGACCGGAGUGGGCUGCUUGGGCAGCCUGCAGGCUCCAGCCGAGCGAUUCCAGCACCCGCUCUCCUUGGGCUUCGGACGGGAACCCACUCUCCAAUAUCUUCUCAGCAUCCACGCUGUACGAGCAUUGUGCUGGGCAACGAGGGGCACACAGAAAUGGAAGGGCUGA
rnacentral:lncRNA from 1 species